rnacentral:rRNA from 1 species
UACGGAGGGGGCUAGCGUUGUUCGGAAUUACUGGGCGUAAAGAGCGCGUAGGCGGCUCAGCAAGUUGGGAGUGAAAGCCCGAGGCUUAACCUCGGAACUGCUUCCAAAACUGUUGGGCUAGAGUAUAGUAGAGGGUGAUAGAAUUCCUAGUGUAGAGGUGAAAUUCUUAGAUAUUAGGAGGAAUACCGGUGGCGAAGGCGGUCACCUGGGCUAUUACUGACGCUGAGGCGCGAAAGCGUGGGGAGCAAACAGG